AGAGUUUGAUCCUGGCUCAGGACGAACGCUGGCGGCGUGCCUAAUACAUGCAAGUCGUACGCUUCUUUUUCCACCGGAGCUUGCUCCACCGGAAAAAGAGGAGUGGCGAACGGGUGAGUAACACGUGGGUAACCUGCCCAUCAGAAGGGGAUAACACUUGGAAACAGGUGCUAAUACCGCAUAACAGUUUAUGCCGCAUGGCAUAAGAGUGAAAGGCGCUUUCGGGUGUCGCUGAUGGAUGGACCCGCGGUGCAUUAGCUAGUUGGUGAGGUAACGGCUCACCAAGGCCACGAUGCAUAGCCGACCUGAGAGGGUGAUCGGCCACAUUGGGACUGAGACACGGCCCAAACUCCUACGGGAGGCAGCAGUAGGGAAUCUUCGGCAAUGGACGAAAGUCUGACCGAGCAACGCCGCGUGAGUGAAGAAGGUUUUCGGAUCGUAAAACUCUGUUGUUAGAGAAGAACAAGGAUGAGAGUAACUGUUCAUCCCUUGACGGUAUCUAACCAGAAAGCCACGGCUAACUACGUGCCAGCAGCCGCGGUAAUACGUAGGUGGCAAGCGUUGUCCGGAUUUAUUGGGCGUAAAGCGAGCGCAGGCGGUUUCUUAAGUCUGAUGUGAAAGCCCCCGGCUCAACCGGGGAGGGUCAUUGGAAACUGGGAGACUUGAGUGCAGAAGAGGAGAGUGGAAUUCCAUGUGUAGCGGUGAAAUGCGUAGAUAUAUGGAGGAACACCAGUGGCGAAGGCGGCUCUCUGGUCUGUAACUGACGCUGAGGCUCGAAAGCGUGGGGAGCAAACAGGAUUAGAUACCCUGGUAGUCCACGCCGUAAACGAUGAGUGCUAAGUGUUGGAGGGUUUCCGCCCUUCAGUGCUGCAGCAAACGCAUUAAGCACUCCGCCUGGGGAGUACGACCGCAAGGUUGAAACUCAAAGGAAUUGACGGGGGCCCGCACAAGCGGUGGAGCAUGUGGUUUAAUUCGAAGCAACGCGAAGAACCUUACCUAGACUUGACAU
rnacentral:rRNA from 1 species